rnacentral:rRNA from 1 species
UACGUAGGAGGCAAGCGUUGUCCGGAAUCAUUGGGCGUAAAGAGCGCGUAGGCGGUCCGGUAAGUCCGCUGUGAAAGUCAAGGGCUCAACCCUUGAAUGCCGGUGGAUACUGUCGGGCUAGAGUCCGGAAGAGGCGAGUGGAAUUCCUGGUGUAGCGGUGAAAUGCGCAGAUAUCAGGAGGAACACCAAUUGCGAAGGCAGCUCGCUGGGACGGUACUGACGCUGAGGCGCGAAAGCGUGGGGAGCAAACAGG